UACGGAGGGUGCAAGCGUUAUCCGGAUUCACUGGGUUUAAAGGGUGCGUAGGUGGGUUGGUAAGUCAGUGGUGAAAUCUCCGGGCUUAACUCGGAAACUGCCGUUGAUACUAUCAAUCUUGAAUGUUGUGGAGGUAAGCGGAAUAUGUCAUGUAGCGGUGAAAUGCUUAGAUAUGACAUAGAACACCGAUAGCGAAGGCAGCUUGCUACACAAUAAUUGACACUGAGGCACGAAAGCGUGGGGAUCAAA
rnacentral:rRNA from 1 species